rnacentral:tRNA from 1 species
GCGGGGGUGGCGGAACUGGCAGACGCGCAGGAUUUAGGAUCCUGUCCCGAAAGGGGUGGGGGUUCAAGUCCCCCCUCCCGCACCA